rnacentral:rRNA from 1 species
UACGUAGGGGGCAAGCGUUAUCCGGAUUUACUGGGUGUAAAGGGAGCGUAGACGGCAAGACAAGCCUGGAGUGAAAGGCGGGGGCCCAACCCCCGGACUGCUCUGGGAACUGUCUGGCUGGAGUGCAGGAGGGGUAAGUGGAAUUCCUAGUGUAGCGGUGAAAUGCGUAGAUAUUAGGAGGAACACCAGUGGCGAAGGCGGCUUACUGGACCGUGACUGACGUUGAGGCUCGAAAGCGUGGGGAGCAAACAGG